UACGAAGGGGACUAGCGUUGUUCGGAAUCACUGGGCGUAAAGCGCACGUAGGCGGAUAUGUCAGUCAGGUGUGAAAUCCCGGGGCUCAACCUCGGAACUGCCUUUGAUACAGCAUAUCUUGAGUCCGAUAGAGGUGGGUGGAAUUCCUAGUGUAGAGGUGAAAUUCGUAGAUAUUAGGAAGAACACCGGUGGCGAAGGCGGCCCACUGGAUCGGUACUGACGCUGAGGUGCGAAAGCGUGGGGAGCAAACAGG
rnacentral:rRNA from 1 species